UUGACUUGUCGGUGCGUGUGUCAAGAUAGGAUUGACCACUCCAGUUUAGGAGCUGUGUACAGUAAUGUUUCAAUUUAGCAAAACCUUGGCCAGGGUAGUCCUUGUGAGGAGUCACAGGACUGUUUGAGUUGAGCACGAUUCAAAUGAUCUGAUCAGGAUUGACAGUUUAACCCUGAGUCGUCCUAAACACAGGGGUCAAAAGGAUGAAUUAUACAGUAACCAUAUUCAUAUAGGUUCUGAGUGUUGCGAUUGUGACUUUUCGACCUAUCCAGAUAUCGGGUACCAUUGCUAGAUGGUCACUUCAAUUAGUACAGGAAUUGGUUCCUGUGCUACCGGCUUAGGUUCGAACCUGCGGGGUCACACACAUUAGAGGUUCCUAUCUGAUCUGAUGGCUGGUGUAGAAUCCUACAUGUUUGGGACUCAGUGAUCGAGAAUCAGGAUUCUCUGAUCAUGAGUUUCACACAUUAUGGGUACCGGGGUCAAGAGUCCCACU
rnacentral:lncRNA from 1 species